GAUAUAUCGGUCGACCUCUAAUGUAAAGUAGCCGAAGUGCAUAAGGACUGGUACACUCAGUAUGUAAACGGUGACCCAGAUACCACCAGAAAAGAAGAAGAGCAGGAGAGGAAGAAAAAGCAGUAUUUGAAAGAAAAAAAGCUGAUCGAAGAACAAGUGCGACGAGGCAGGGAGGGAAAAGAGCCCGAGGAAAGGGUAUUCAAGGAAUUCAAACGCAAGAAUGAUGAGAAGAUUUCCUUCACCUGGGCUGCCAGAUCUUCCUCUGCAGGCCCAGCCAAAGCAAGAACAUCGUGGGCUUCCACUGCAUCUGUCAGAAAAGAAACUUGUGUCCAGGAGAAAAAGAAAAA